AUUUAAGUAGCAACAGGGGUGGUAAAAGGUUAAGGCAGGAUGAAUCGGAGAUAAUGGCAGAGAAUGGGAAGGAAGAGAACAAGAAGGCAACAGCUCUUAGUUUAACAGAAAAGGAUAGAGAAAAAAGAAAGGAACUGACUUCGAGUUUGACAGAAGAUGAAGAUGAAGACGAAGGUGAAGGUGAAGGUGAAGAUGAAAAUGAUGAAG
rnacentral:misc_RNA from 1 species